GGCAUCUGCGGCCUAAAGGUGAAAUCAACGAACUUGCAGUGUGCCCACCCCUGCCCAAUGAUGUCAUCGUGCACUUGUCUUGGGCGAUUGUUAUAAAACCACCAAAAUGAAUGGCACUUAAAGAAACUGUGAGAGUGUCAAAUUGGAGCUCCCUCACUUUUCUGUGUAUGUGUGCUGUAAGGCAAUUCAUCAUGGACCACCAACCAAAGACCACCAUGGUAUCCCAGACCGAGAAGCAAAAUGUGAGAAAAAAAGAAGAGUUUCCACUGUGGGCGCACGUACACAUGGAAAAUUAUAGAAUAUAGGCUUUCAUGUAAGAGUUUUCAUUCACUUUCUACCUUGUGCUACACUUUCUCCAAUUUAAAUGCACAGACAUUAGAG